CCUACGGGUGGCUGCAGUGGGGGAUAUUGCACAAUGGGGGGAACCCUGAUGCAGCGAUGCCGCGUGGGUGAAGGAGCACUCCGGCGCGUAAAGCCCUAUCGGCAGGGAAGAAAAUGACAGUACCUGGCCAAGAAGCCCCGGCUAACUACGUGCCAGCAGCCGCGGUAAUACGUAGGGGGCAAGCGUUAUCCGGAUUUACUGGGUGUAAAGGGGGCGCAGGCGGCAUGGCAAGACAGAGGUGAAAGCCCGGGGCCCAACCCCGGGACUGCAUUUGAAACUGCAUGGCUGGAGUGCAGGAGGGGCAAGCGGAAUUCCUAGUGUAGCGGUGAAAUGCGUAGAUAUUAGGAGGAACACCAGUGGCGGAGGCGGCUUACUGGACGGUGACUGACGUUGAGGCUCGAAAGCGUGGGGAGCAAACAGGAUUAGAUACCCGGGUAGUC
rnacentral:rRNA from 1 species